AUUGAACGCUGGCGGCAUGCCUUACACAUGCAAGUCGAACGGUAACGCGGGGCAACCUGGCGACGAGUGGCGAAUGGGUGAGUAAUACAUCGGAACGUGCCUAGUAGUGGGGGAUAACUACUCGAAAGAGUGGCUAAUACCGCAUGAGAUCUACGGAUGAAAGCAGGGGAUCGCAAGACCUUGUGCUACUAGAGCGGCCGAUGGCAGAUUAGGUAGUUGGUGGGAUAAAAGCUUACCAAGCCGACGAUCUGUAGCUGGUCUGAGAGGACGAUCAGCCACACUGGGACUGAGACACGGCCCAGACUCCUACGGGAGGCAGCAGUGGGGAAUUUUGGACAAUGGGCGCAAGCCUGAUCCAGCAAUGCCGCGUGCAGGAUGAAGGCCUUCGGGUUGUAAACUGCUUUUGUACGGAACGAAAAGCCCUGGGUUAAUACCCUGGGGUCAUGACGGUACCGUAAGAAUAAGCACCGGCUAACUACGUGCCAGCAGCCGCAGUAACAC
rnacentral:rRNA from 1 species